rnacentral:rRNA from 1 species
UGGGGAAUUUUGGACAAUGGGGGAAACCCUGAUCCAGCCAUCCCGCGUGUGCGAUGAAGGCCUUCGGGUUGUAAAGCACUUUUGGCAGGAAAGAAACGUCAUGGGUUAAUACCCCGUGAAACUGACGGUACCUGCAGAAUAAGCACCGGCUAACUACGUGCCAGCAGCCGCGGUAAUACGUAGGGUGCAAGCGUUAAUCGGAAUUACUGGGCGUAAAGCGUGCGCAGGCGGUUCGGAAAGAAAGAUGUGAAAUCCCAGAGCUCAACUUUGGAACUUCAUUUUUAACUCCCGGGCUAGAGUGUGUCAGAGGGAGGUGGAAUUCCGCGUGUAGCAGUGAAAUGCGUAGAUAUGCGGAGGAACACCGAUGGCGAAGGCAGCCUCCUGGGAUAACACUGACGCUCAUGCACGAAAGCGUGGGGAGCAAACAGA